CCGGAGCAUCCUACGAAAGAACAGCUCCAACUUGAUGCAGAAAUCCCCCAAUGUGGAGAACCCCAGAAGGAAGUCUCAGCACUGGGACGAGAUGAAUAUCCUGACCACCUACCGCCCUGCUGACAAGGACUAUGGAUUUAUGAUGGUGGAUGAGCCCAACACUCCCUACCACAGGCUGCAGGACAGUUUUGAGGACCUCUCUGCCGGCUCCUCCUGCUCA
rnacentral:lncRNA from 1 species